CAGGAACCCAGGAGGCUGCAGCAACUUGGAGCCCCCGACCAGGAGCGGGGCGGGCGGGGGCUUCCCAGUGGCUGACGCCCAGGAGCCAGCAGGCGGAGAAGAAGCCGGAGGAUCGCUGAGAGUGUGCGACACGAUGAUGUCACUUCUAGGUGCCGACUCUGCGUUCCUAGAUGAAGAGGCAGCGCAGACCGGAUGAAUGGAUUUGUGGAUCAAGAUCUUCGCCUGAGAAAUCUUCCUGGAGGCAUCGUCUGAGCCAAGCUUCUCCACCGUGCAGGUCCGGAUUCUUUGCUGCCGCUUACGUGAGCGCGCAGCAACUGACAUGUCUUCUCUUUUAUGGGUAUCCACGAGACUGACUGUUGAUCCAUCCUCCAAUCAAGCUGUUCCUUCACCUUCAUGAGGACUUCAGACUGCUCCAUUCACAUCUGUU